rnacentral:tRNA from 1 species
GUUUCCAUAGUGUAGUGGAUAUUACGUCGGCUUCACACGCUGAAGGUCCUCAGUUGGACCCUGGGUGGAAACA